rnacentral:rRNA from 1 species
GACGAACGCUGGCGGCGUGCUUAACACAUGCAAGUCGAACGGAAAGGCCCUGCUUUUGUGGGGUGCUCGAGUGGCGAACGGGUGAGUAACACGUGAGUAACCUGCCCUUGACUUUGGGAUAACUUCAGGAAACUGGGGCUAAUACCGGAUAGGAGCUCCUGCUGCAUGGUGGGGGUUGGAAAGUUUCGGCGGUUGGGGAUGGACUCGCGGCUUAUCGGCUUGUUGGUGGGGUAGGGGCUUACCAAGGCUUUGGCGGGUAGCCGGCCUGGGAGGGUGACCGGCGACACGGGGCCUGAGGGAGGGACCAGAGGCGAACGGGGGGCAGCGGGGGGGAGUAGUGCACAGUGGGCGAGAGCCGGAUGCAGCGGCGCCGGGUGGGGGAGGACGGCCUUCUGGUUGUGAACCGCUUACGGCAGGGAAGAAGCGAUACUGACGGUACCUGCAGAAGAAGCGCCGGCUAACUUCGUG